rnacentral:rRNA from 1 species
UAGGGAAUCUUCCACAAUGGACGCAAGUCUGAUGGAGCAACGCCGCGUGAGUGAAGAAGGUUUUCAGACCGUAAAGCUCUGUUGUUGGUGAAGAAGGAUAGAGGUAGUAACUGGCCUUUAUUUGACGGUAAUCAACCAGAAAGUCACGGCUAACUACGUGCCAGCAGCCGCGGUAAUACGUAGGUGGCAAGCGUUGUCCGGAUUUAUUGGGCGUAAAGCGAGCGCAGGCGGAAGAAUAAGUCUGAUGUGAAAGCCCUCGGCUUAACCGAGGAAUUGCAUCGGAAACUGUUUUUCUUGAGUGCAGAAGAGGAGAGUAGAACUCCAUGUGUAGCGGUGGAAUGCGUAGAUAUAUGGAAGAAUACCAGUGGCGAAGGCGGCUCUCUGGUCUGCAACUGACGCUGAGGCUCGAAAGCAUGGGUAGCGAACAGGAUUAGAUACCCUGGUAGUCCAUGCCGUAAACGAUGAGUGCUAAGUGUUGGGAGGCUUCCGCCUCUCAGUGCUGCAGCUAACGCAUUAAGCACUCCGCCUGGGGGAGUACGACCGCAAGGUUGAAAC